UCAAAUCAAAUCAAAUCAAAUGUAUUUAUAUAGCCCUUCGUACAUCAGCUGAUAUCUCAAAGUGCUGUACAGAAACCCAGCCUAAAACCCCAAACAGCAAGCAAUGCAGGCGUAGAAGCACGGUGGCUAGGAAAAACUCCCUAGAAAGGCCAAAACCUAGGAAGAAUCCUAGAGAGGAACCAGGCUAUGUGGGGUGGCCAGUCCUCUUCUGGCUGUGCCGGGUGGAGAUUAUAACAGAACAUGGCCAAGAUGUUCAAAUGUUCAUAAAUGACCAGCAUGGUCGAAUAAUAAUAAGGCAGAACAGUUGAAACUGGAGCAGCAGCAUGGCCAGGUGGACUGGGGACAGCAAGGAGUCAUCAUGUCAGGUAGUCCUGGGGCAUGGUCCUAGGGCUCAGGUCCUCCGAGAGAGAGAAAGAAAGAAGGAGAGAAUUAGAGAACGCACACUUAGAUUCACACAGGACACCGAAUUAGGACAGGAGAAGUACUCCAGAUA